UACAGAGGGGGCAAGCGUUAUUCGGAAUUAUUGGGCGUAAAGGGCGCGUAGGCGGCCUGGCAAGUGGAAGGUGAAAUCCCUCGGCUUAACCGAGGAACUGCCUUCCAAACUGCUUGGCUUGAGUCCGGGAGAGGUGAGUGGAAUUCCCAGUGUAGCGGUGAAAUGCGUAGAUAUUGGGAGGAACACCAGUGGCGAAGGCGGUCUCCUGGGGCAUUCUUGACGCUGAGGCGCGAAAGCUGGGGGAGCGAACGGG
rnacentral:rRNA from 1 species